UGCCAGCAGCCGCGGUAAUACGGAGGGGGCCGGCGUUGUUCGGAAUCAUUGGGCGUAAAGCGCGCGCAGGCGGUUGGGUCAGUCAGACGUGGAAGCCCUGGGCUUAACCCAGGAACGGCGUUUGAUACUGCCCAGCUAGAGUUCGGGAGAGGGUGGCGGAAUUCCCAGUGUAGAGGUGAAAUUCGUAGAUAUUGGGAGGAACACCUGUGGCGAAGGCGGCUACCUGGACCGAUACUGACGCUGAGGCGCGAAAGCCAGGGGAGCGAACGGGAUUAGAUA
rnacentral:rRNA from 1 species